GUGACUUAGUGUUUUUAUGACAGUUGGGCUCUGGUCCUGCACUGUUCCAAGCUUUUUGUGCUAGGGUUCUGGGUCUUACUCCUGGUUUUCACUGGGCUUUAGGGCUCAGCUGCUUGCUUUGUCUGGAGGGUACUCCCUUUGGCUUAUACUGGGUGGGUGGGGGAGGUGUGGAGCCUCCCUGUUGGCCUCACCUGGGUGUGGGGUUUAGCUGCUGGUCUGCUUCAGGUGUGGGGCAUUGCUGCUGGGUUGCUAUGGAAACAGGGACUCUUUGCCUGUUGGCCCCAGGGAUGGGGUCUCAACUGUUGGCCAGCCCUGGGGCAGGGCUUCACUACUGGUUAGCAGUGGCAUCAAGGCCUUGCUUGGUAGCUUGUGCUGGGGGUUGGGUCACUGAGGUGGGGCCUUGCUAUGUUGCACAGACUGCUCAGUUGCCUAGGGGGCUGCUGGUUUGCAGGAGAGUGGGACCUGGCUUGGUGGAUGGCUCCAGGCCCCUUGCUGUGAGGCUGGCUGCUGCUGCUCCUGAGACAGACCUUUCCUCCUGUGCUGGAAAAAGAACUGAGACUUGGAUAAAAUAUCAUCAUAAAAAAUCACAGAGCAAAAAAAAAAAGGUAAGAAUGGUUCUUGUUCUGAUAGAACAGAUAGAUAUUGUUCUGAUAGAAAGAGGUAAACUCAUGGAACAAAACAUUAGAUUAGUAAACUCCUUGAGGUUAGGGACUCAUAUUUCUUCUGUAUCUACCCACAGUGCUUAGUAUAAUGCUCUAUUAUGUGAAGAUUCAAUAAAUAACACAGAAUUACUGACCUUUGGUGCUUAACAUUAAUCACAUACUACUGAAGCAUAACCUUUGGUUGUGAUGCCUUAAUAGUAAAAGGAGAUAGGUGAUAGUCUUUACAAACUGAUAUCCCAAAUACCAACACACAGUUAAAAAUUGUCUACCAGCUGUUCUAAGGGCUUGUCAAUUGUGAAGUACUGUUCUUAUAUCAGCAACAUCAACAUCACCACAAAAUACAUUUAGAGAGAAUGAAGAGGAGAAGGAAUACAGGCAGGCUAACUGGCAGAACUUUUGGGGGUGGGUUUCUUAUGUUUUAUAUAUAUAUAUAUAUAUAUGUAUUUAUUUCAGUAUGUUUUCUUGGAUUCUUAAAAAGUAAAGUUCUUUAUAAGCAAAUUUCCUGCUUUCUUCUCAGGUAGGAAGCAAAGAAGGGGAGCCAUAAAGGGCAGGCAGGAGGCAAAUGUGAACACAUGUACCAGGAUGGAAGGAAGAUGAAGAUGAACUCCAGGAUUAGAGCAGCACCCAUCAGACACAUCUAGAUACAUACUGCUUUCCCCUGUCCCAAAUGGUAAAGGUUCUUUCCAGGAAUUUCUAAAGCCACCAAACAUCCCACUUUGGCAUUUCUGCCAGAUAUCUCUGCCACAAACACUGGCUUAGAAGAUAUAAGGCAAUAUUUCCUGGCUAUAAUCUAAACCUUUCUAAGGUUAUUAUAAAACAAAAGAUCUAUCAUGGGUAAUGAUUUCCUCAAUGUCCACCACUUUUCUCUUGACCUCGAUCCUUUUUAUUUCCUUCAUCAUGCAACUCUUGCAGAAGUUUAAGGUGCUAAAAAUCUCAAGGGGAAAUUCCUUCCAUUGAAAUCUUGCUGUUUCCCUCCUUUCCUAUUCACCAUUCUAUUUCCCUUCUAGUUGUGAACCAACCCUUACUAAGACAUAAAGUUUGCACAGAUAAAGCAGUUAGUGCUUUCUGAUGGCAAUAAAACUAAUUAACAGUUGGGAGCAAUAAAUUCAGAUGAAGCAAAAGACAGAAACAAAUAUUUUUAAAAAUAUGUAAGCCACCAUUUUCUGCUAACCUCUCAAUACGGAGUGUUCUUUACCGAAAAUCCCAGCUUGGAAAAGAGAAAGUCUGUGGUAGCCAUAACUGAAGACCAAACAUAGCUCCCACCACCUUAAGUCAUUUCCCUCUUCUAGGCUAUAUACAAGGAGUACUUAGAACAAAUACCAAUUAAGGAUGGGUAAAGAAGCAAUUGGUGGCCCUAAAAAGUCACUAAUUACAAAUCCUCUAACCUGAACAAGACCCUGGUUUUGUUAGUAACUGAAGUUGUCAGUGCAGAAUGAAGCCUGCCUGACAUCAAUUAAUUUAUCACUCAAGUCUCAUUUUCUCUAUCACUCAAUUCUAAUUUCUCUCUCUCUCUCUCUCUCACACACACACACACACACACACACACACAAAUUUAAGAAAAUGUAAGUGUGGAAUGGAGCAUAAUUUAUCAUCAUUAAAGGUGGGGAAAGUAUCUCUGAGAACUGCA